rnacentral:rRNA from 1 species
UAAAAGAAAUUAUUUUUAGUACCUCCUGCUCAAUGAAAAUUAAAUAGCCGCAGUCCCCUGUGCUAAGGUAGCAUAAUCAUUUGCCUAAUAAUUAUAGGAUGGAAUGAAAGGUGUUACAUGUUAUCUUCUUUAUUAAAAAGGAAAUUUAAAAUUAUUAUUUAAGUAAUAACUCUUAAAUUAUUAGGGGGACGACAAGACCCUGACGAACUUUACACUAUGUUUAGCUGGGGCGGCAGACAAAUUACAUCUUUUCUUAUUCUUACUCUAACUCAACCUUAAAAUGAUAAUUAAGUUACCGCAGGGAUAACAGCAUAACCUUUUCCUGAAGACCUUAUACAAGAAAAUAUUUGUGACCUCGAUGUUGAAUUAAAAAUCUUUUAGAAGCAGAAUUCUAAAAAGAGAGUCUGUUCGACUCUUAAAUAUUU